CGGCUGCUUCUAGAGCCUUCCUCCUCACUAGAAAAGCAGCUACAUCUACAUUCUCCCUUGACAAACUCGUACUGGCACGCUCUGCUUUGUUAAUUCACUCGCCUUCCUCAUUUCCCAGUCCAAGAACUCUCCUUUCUCUGCAGUUUGCACACCAUGUAUCGUUUCGCCUCUAGCAUCGCAUCUAGAGCUCGGUACGCUCUAUUCCCCUUCUACUUUUCCUCUUGCGUGUCAACUGGGUUUUAGUCUUUUCCCAUUUUCCGUUUGGUACCCGAGAAAACACUGCAACAUAACACGAAAGAAAAGAAAUUUACAGUGUCUGAUCUCGGAUUUCUAUUGUUUUAUUCCCUUUUAAUUUUCCAUCCUAACUAGAUAAAAUCACUGAACUUAAAGCUUGCUACCUGAGUUCUGAAAUGUCGUUUAAGUGGUCAAUGCUCAAUUUUUGUGAUUUGUGCUAUUGCUCAGUCCGUACGUUAACGAGUUUUUUUUUUUUCACAGAAUCGCUAGGAACAGCACUCAUCAGAUUGGAAGUAGACUGAGUUGGAGUAGAAACUAUGCGGCCAAAGACAUCAAAUUUGGUGUGGAAGCCCGUGCUUUAAUGCUUAAGGGUGUCGAAGCGCUUGCUGAUGCUGUGCAAGUUACCAUGGGUCCUAAGGGGCGCAAUGUGGUAAUUGAACAAAGUUUUGGUGCCCCCAAAGUGACAAAGGAUGGCGUGACUGUUGCAAAGAGCAUUGAAUUCAAGGACAAAGUCAAGAAUGUUGGUGCUAGCCUUGUGAAGCAGGUUGCAAAUGCCACCAAUGAUGUUGCAGGAGAUGGGACUACUUGUGCCACUGUUCUUACUCGAGCAAUAUUCGCGGAAGGAUGCAAGUCAGUUGCAGCAGGGAUGAAUGCAAUGGACCUAAGACGUGGCAUCAGCAUGGCUGUUGAUGCUGUUGUUACCAACUUGAAAAGCAGAGCACGAAUGAUCAGCACAUCUGAAGAAAUAGCACAAGUUGGCACAAUAUCUGCAAAUGGAGAGAGAGAAAUUGGUGAGUUAAUUGCAAAGGCCAUGGAGAAGGUUGGCAAAGAGGGAGUUAUUACAAUCCAAGAUGGGAAGACUUUAUAUAAUGAGUUGGAAGUUGUUGAGGGAAUGAAGCUGGACAGGGGUUACAUAUCCCCUUAUUUCAUAACCAACCAGAAAAACCAAAAAUGUGAAUUAGAUGAUCCUCUCAUUCUGAUCCAUGAGAAGAAAAUAUCAAGUAUAAAUGCUGUGGUGAAAGUAUUAGAGUUGGCUUUGAAGAGACAAAGGCCCUUGUUGAUAGUUUCUGAAGAUGUGGAAAGUGAAGCAUUAGCAACCCUUAUUCUAAACAAACUUCGCGCUGGAAUUAAGGUGUGUGCCAUAAAAGCUCCUGGUUUUGGAGAGAACAGGAAGUCUGGGCUGCAGGAUCUUGCUGUUCUCACGGGCGGUCAGGUGAUAACGGAAGAACUUGGCCUCAAUCUUGAUAAGGUGGAUAUAGAUAUGCUUGGCAGUUGCAAAAAGGUUACAGUGUCCAAGGAUGAUACUGUUAUUCUUGAUGGUGCUGGUGACAAGAAGGCCAUUGAGGAAAGAUGUGAACAGAUAAGGUCUGCAAUAGAGUUAAGCACUUCUGACUAUGACAAAGAGAAAUUGCAAGAAAGACUGGCAAAGCUUUCUGGAGGUGUUGCUGUACUCAAGAUUGGAGGAGCUAGUGAAGCUGAAGUUGGUGAGAAGAAAGAUAGGGUUACAGAUGCUUUAAAUGCUACAAAGGCAGCAGUAGAAGAGGGUAUUGUGGCUGGUGGUGGUGUUGCUCUUCUUUAUGCCUCAAAAGAGUUGGAUAAGUUGCAGACUGCCAACUUUGACCAGAAGAUUGGUGUCCAGAUCAUUCAGAAUGCUCUAAAGACUCCAGUACAUACAAUAGCAAGUAAUGCUGGAGUUGAGGGAGCUGUUAUUGUUGGUAAGCUUUUGGAGCAAGAGAACCAUGAUCUUGGUUAUGAUGCUGCCAAAGGAGAGUAUGUUGAUAUGGUGAAAGCAGGGAUUAUUGACCCAUUGAAAGUAAUUAGAACUGCUUUGGUUGAUGCGGCAAGCGUGUCAUCAUUGAUGACAACAACAGAAGCUGUUGUAUCUGAAUUUCCAAAAGAUGAGAAGGAUGUUCCAGCAAUGGCCCCUGGCAUGGGCAUGGAUUAUUGAUGUUCCUUAUAAAGCACUCAUCCAAAUUGGGCAUGAACAGUUACCAAUCCACAUGGAAUAUUGGGUUUCAUCCUUUUCUUUAACGAGUUAUUAUUGUGAAGGUCCAAAGGCAUCCAUGUAUUCAUAGUGAGGUGUGUAGGUAGUAGUUCCGAGGAUUGGAUAAUUCAAGAUAAAGUCAUCUUGAAUUCUUGUUUGCUAGGGCGCAUUUUUAUCCCCUUGGAAUAAAACAGUGUUACGCUUUUUCAGUUGGUGGGUGGGUUGGUACUGGAGGUUGUUCUUCAGUUUAUUGAUAUCUUUUGCAUCUAUGUUUGGAUUCGGAAUUAGCUCCAUCGAACUUGAGAUCAUAACCAUACAUGAGUUUUAGGGGCCUAAAUUGGGUUGAAAUUAUUCUCUCUAUCGAAAUCAAACUGGACUUCAAUGAAUUGAUUCAAAGAGGAAUCAAAACUUCCAUUGGAAGUUAAAGUUCAUUUGCAGAAUGAUGAAGGAG
rnacentral:misc_RNA from 1 species